CCUACCACCGCCUUGGAGACGGAGAGGCGGGACUCAAAGGGAUGCUCCCGCACCCCCUUCCUCCUUCCAAAGACGUUUCAGUCGCAAUUGGCCCAAUUCGUCGGUCUCCGACCCGCUGCAAGGACUCCAAAGUCUGGGGAAUGGACUAGACCACCCAUGUCCCAGGGGACAGGGAGGAUACGAGACGUAACCUCUUGCGUUCGCGGUGUAGGCCAAGUAUUCUUCAUCCCGAACUCGGAAAAUAAGGCUCGCAAGUUAUUCACGGUAUUGUUCACAAUUAAGUUUUUGGUUAAGAAUAGGAAUUUAAAAACUGUAGCCUGCUUUCCACUCGCCCCCCCCCCCCCAUCUAGCAAAUGGAAGUUACCGGCUAAGAAGGACGCAUGCGUCGGGGCGUGUUCUCGCGCUGGGACGUCCGGGCCCGCCUCUCCCAAGCCCCGCCUCUUGGAAGUCGUGUUUGCUGAGCCAGGAUUUUGAUCAAUGCAGUGGCAUACAUAUAAGGAAGGUUUAUCUGGUGGUGGUAUACAGAAGGACUGGAAUGGAAUGAAGUUAUGAUCAAGGAAACACAUCUGCACAAAGGGGCUGGGACAGAUUCCCAAGACUUUAAAUUGCCAAGACCAGGAAGUCGUGGUACUAGGAUUUCAUACCAGGCAAGUUUCCCAGUCUCUCACUCUAACAUUUUUGCGUCUGGGCAGACAAGGGAAAAUUCCUCCAUCAUUAUAUCACGUGCUCACGAUCCUUGGCAGCCAAGUGUGUGGCGGCACAUUGUUCUUUCCUUCCCUGCCUGCUGAUACGGGUUCUCCUUAGAGAUUCCUCCAGUGUCUGAGCCGAAAAGAUUUUAGAAGCCAUGCAGACCAUUUCUUUGAUUUGGCAGAAAAGGAAACAGAACCAGAGAGAAGACCGGCACAAAGGCACACAGCUAGUUAAUGAAACCAGGUCUUCUGACAACCAGUCCAGGGCUUUUUCCAGAAUACCACGCCCUAGAUACCAAAUAACAUCUGGAGCUCCUGCCCAGUCCAUAUUCUGUUUCCCAUUUCACUCACUUCCAUGCCUAGGGCCUUGAACUAGACCUUGUAAUGUGGUAAAAUGACUUUCUGAAAAGUUUCUAGUAUUUGGUAUUUUGAUGGAAAGGAAACAUUAGAUUAGAAAGAAAGAGGUUAUCGCAGCCAGAGGUUUCUAAAGGGAAAUGCAGUUGGGCCAGAGUGGAAGAGCAAAUUCCCCGACUGAGACCUGUUGCUCAAAGUUGUCCAUGGACCAGCAGAAUGGGUGUCACCUGGGAGUCCCGCCCAGACGUGCUGCAUCAAAAUCUGCAUUUGCACAAGAUCCCCAGAUGACCCGAAUACACACUAAAGUAGUCCUGCAAAAAGUCUUCCCCUCCAGUUCCUGCCCAAAUGCUUACCUUUCUUCCUCCCACCUCCCUCCGUUCCUGCACUCCGUGGUCCACUCCUAAAUGUUGCUCUGUUCAUCUAGUCAUGCCUUUUCUUGAAAUUUAAAGCCAUGGAGUGGCGGUGGAGGUGUUAUAUUUUUAAAGGGGACUCGAAUGGAAAUUUUUUAGAAAAAUAAAAUAGAGCCAAUGUGAAAGAACUUGUGCAGUUCCAAUGUCAUGUUAUUAAUAUAGAAGUAUAAACAUUUACUAUGUUUAUAUUGGCUUGCUUGUAAAAUCAUCAUCUUUGGUUAUGGUUAGGAACUUGAUGGCCUGGAAAUUAUCCUGAAAAACUCUGAGAACAAAAAUAUUUUUCCCCUCAACUCUAUGGAAAAUAAAAAAAAUCUCUUUUAAAAAAUCCCAAUAACAUCUCUUCCCUACAUUAUUCUCUGCCACUAUGCAUUUCUUCCUCUUACCUUUCUCUCUUUCAUUAUUCCUAGCUUAGUUUCCUCAUAUCAUUUUAUUUAAAAUAUAAUUUCUCCUAUUAUUCAUUCCUAAUAGAAAAAUUAAGAAAUAAAGAGGAAA